ensembl:miRNA mir-54 ncRNA
GUGAGUCGCGCUCUGACUAGGAUAUGAGACGACGAGAACAUUGCUUUUUUAAAAGACUUGUACCCGUAAUCUUCAUAAUCCGAGUCAGGGCUAGCUGAC